rnacentral:tRNA from 1 species
AGAGACUUAGGUUAACACCAGACCAAGAGCCUUCAAAGCUCUCAGUGAAAGUGAGAAUCUUUCAGUCCCUG